rnacentral:rRNA from 1 species
GAUGAACGCUGGCGGCGUGCCUAACACAUGCAAGUCGAGCGAACGGACGAGAAGCUUGUUUCUCUGAUGUUAGCGGCGGACGGGUGAGUAACACGUGGAUAACCUCCCUAUAAGACUGGGAUAACUUCGGGACACCGUAGCUAAUACCGGAUAAUAUAAUGAACCGCAUGGUUCAAAAGUGACAGACGGUCUUGCUGUCACUUCUAGAUCGAUCCGCGAUGCUUUAGCUAGUUGGUAGGGUAACGGCUUACCAAGGCAACGAUGCAUAGCCGACCUGGGAGGGUGUUCGGAGCCACUGGAAGUGGGGCACGGUCCAGACUCCUACGGGAGGCAGCAGUAGGGAAUCUUCCGCAGUGGGCGAAGGCCUGACGGAGCAACGCGGCGUGGGUGAUGGAGGUCAUCGGAUCGUGAAGCUGUGUGAUUAGGGGAGAUCAUAUGUGUAAGUAGCUGUACACGUCUUGACGGUACCUGGUCAGAAAGCCACGGCUAACUACGUG